UACGUAGGGUGCGAGCGUUAAUCGGAAUUACUGGGCGUAAAGGGCGCGUAGGCGGCCUGCUAAGUCGAACGUGAAAUCCCGGGGCUCAACUCCGGAACUGCCUUUGAGACUGCAUCGCUUGAAUCCAGGAGAGGUGAGUGGAAUUCCGAGUGUAGAGGUGAAAUUCGUAGAUAUUCGGAAGAACACCAGUGGCGAAGGCGGCUCACUGGACUGGUAUUGACGCUGAGGUGCGAAAGCGUGGGGAGCAAACAGG
rnacentral:rRNA from 1 species